rnacentral:tRNA from 1 species
ACUUUUAUUUAAUUAAAUAAUUUAUCCGAUACUUAAACAAUGCUAUGUGUUGUCAUAUCUAAAAAUA